AUUGAACGCUGGCGGCAGGCCUAACACAUGCAAGUCGAGCGAGCGGCGGACGGGUGAGUAAUGUAUGGGGACUGCCCGAUAGAGGGGGAUAACUACUGGAAACGGUAGCUAAUACCGCAUACUAUCGGAUAACCCAUAUGGGAUUAGCUAGUAGGUGAGGUAAUGGCUCACCUAGGCGACGAUCACUAGCUGGUCUGAGAGGAUGAUCAGCCACAGGGGGACUGAGAAACGGCCCAGACUUGUACGGAUGCGGCAGGGGGGAAUAUGUCAUAAUGGGCGUAAGCCUGAUGCAGCCAUGCCGCGUGUAGGAAGAAGGCCCGAGGGUUGUAAAGUACUGUGAGGCGGGAGGGGUUACCGACAGAAGAAGCACCGGCUAACUCCGUGCCAGCAGCAGCGGUAAUUC
rnacentral:rRNA from 1 species